GACGAACGCUGGCGGCGUGCUUAACACAUGCAAGUCGAACGGAAAGGCCCCCAUCUUGGUGGGGGUGCUCGAGUGGCGAACGGGUGAGUAACACGUGGGUGAUCUGCCCUGUACUUCGGGAUAAGCUUGGGAAACUGGGUCUAAUACCGGAUAGGACCAUGGUUUAGUGUCUCAUGGUGGAAAGAUUAUUGUUUUGGUGCAGGAUGAGCUCGCGGCCUAUCAGCUUGUUGGUGGGGUAAUGGCCUACCAAGGCGUCGACGGGUAGCCGGCCUGAGAGGGUGGACGGCCACAUUGGGACUGAGAUACGGCCCAGACUCCUACGGGAGGCAGCAGUGGGGAAUAUUGCACAAUGGGCGCAAGCCUGAUGCAGCGACGCCGCGUGGGGGAUGACGGCCUUCGGGUUGUAAACUCCUUUCGUUAGGGACGAAGCCGCACUUUUUUUGGGUGUGGUGACGGUACCUUUGUUAAGAAGCGCCGGCUAACUACGUG
rnacentral:rRNA from 1 species